rnacentral:rRNA from 1 species
AUUGAACGCUGGCGGCAGGCUUAACACAUGCAAGUCGAGCGGAGAUGAGGUGCUUGCACCUUAUCUUAGCGGCGGACGGGUGAGUAAUGCUUAGGAAUCUGCCUAUUAGUGGGGGACAACAUUCCGAAAGGAAUGCUAAUACCGCAUACGUCCUACGGGAGAAAGCAGGGGAUCUUCGGACCUUGCGCUAAUAGAUGAGCCUAAGUCGGAUUAGCUAGUUGGUGGGGUAAAGGCCGACCAAGGCGACGAUCUGUAGCGGGUCUGAGAGGAUGAUACGCCACACUGGGACUGAGACACGGCCCAGACUCCUACGGGAGGCAGCAGUGGGGAAUAUUGGACAAUGGGGGGAACCCUGAUCCAGCCAUGCCGCGUGUGUGAAGAAGGCCUUAUGGUUGUAAAGCACUUUAAGCGAGGAGGAGGCUACUGAGACUAAUACCCUUGGAUAGUGGACGUUACUCGCAGAAUAAGCACCGGCUAACUCUGUGCCAGCCGCCGCCGUAACAC